rnacentral:rRNA from 1 species
CGGUCAACAAAGAGAGGCGAAACCGCGAGGUGGAGCGAAUCUCAAAAAGCCGUCCCAGUUCGGAUUGCAGGCUGCAACCCGCCUGCAUGAAGUUGGAAUCGCUAGUAAUCGCGGAUCAGCAUGCCGCGGUGAAUACGUUCCCGGGCCUUGUACACACCGCCCGUCACACCAUGAGAGUCGGGAACACCCGAAGUCCGUAGCCUAACCGCGAAGGGGGCGCGGCCGAAGGUGGGUUCGAUAAUUGGGGUGAAGUCGUAACAAGGUAUC